rnacentral:rRNA from 1 species
AGUGAACGCUGGCGGUAGGCCUAACACAUGCAAGUCGAACGGCAGCACAGUAAGAGCUUGCUCUUACGGGUGGCGAAUGGCGGACGGGUGAGGCAUACAUCGGAAUCUACUUUUUCGUGGGGGAUAACGUAGGGAAACUUACGCUAAUACCGCAUACGACCUACGGGUGAAAGCAGGGGAUCUUCGGACCUUGCGCGAUUGAAUGAGCCGAUGUCGGAUUAGCUAGUUGGCGGGGUAAAGGCCCACCAAGGCGACGAUCCGUAGCUGGUCUGAGAGGAUGAUCAGCCACACUGGGACUGAGACACGGUCCAGACUCCUACGGGGGGCAGCAGUGGGGAAUAUUGGACAAUGGGGGCGAGCCUGAUCCAGCCAUACCGCGUGAGUGAAGAAGGCCUUCGGGUUGUAAAGCCCUUUUGUUGGGAAAGAAAAGCAGCAGGUUAAUACCCCGCUGUUCUGACGGUACCCAAAGAAUAAGCAACGGCUAACUUCGUG